GGGGAAUAUUGCGCAAUGGGGGAAACCCUGACGCAGCAACGCCGUGUGAGUGAUGAAGGCCUUCGGGUCGUAAAGCUCUGUCAGGCGGAACGAAUCGCCGGAAGCUAACAUCUUCCGGCCUGACGGUACUGCCAAAGGAAGCACCGGCUAACUCCGUGCCAGCAGCCGCGGUAAGACGGAGGGUGCGAGCGUUGUUCGGAAUUACUGGGCGUAAAGGGCGUGUAGGUGGUACUGUAAGUCGGGUGUGAAAUCCUAUGGCUCAACCAUAGAACUGCAUUCGAUACUGCAGAACUGGAGUACAGGAGAGGGAAGCGGAAUUCCCAGUGUAGGAGUGAAAUCCGUAGAUAUUGGGAGGAACACCAGUAGCAAAAGCGGCUUCCUGGCCUGUCACUGACACUGAGACGCGAAAGCGUGGGGAGCAAAC
rnacentral:rRNA from 1 species